rnacentral:rRNA from 1 species
GUGCCAGCAGCCGCGGUAAGACGAACCGUGCAAACGUUGUUCGGAUUCACUGGGCUUAAAGGGCGCGUAGGCGGGCGGCCAAGUCAGGGGUGAAAUCCUUCGGCUCAACCGGAAAAUUGCCUUUGAUACUGGCCGUCUGGAGGGAGGUAGGGGCACGUGGAACUUCCGGUGGAGCGGUGAAAUGCGUUGAUAUCGGAAGGAACGCCGGUGGCGAAAGCGACGUGCUGGACCUCUUCUGACGCUGAUGCGCGAAAGCUAGGGGAGCGAACGGGAUUAGAUACCCUAGUAGUCC